GAUCGGUGAGUUGAAUUCCAUUUUUGUGUCUAUUUUCCGAGCUGCGUUGACUGAAAAGAAUUUCGAGUCAUCCAUCUCUGAAAUUAGACACGAAUUGUCGGAGUAUGUUUAUGAUUU
rnacentral:pre_miRNA from 1 species